UUGUCAAAGAUCAGCUGUGAUUAUUUGGCCUCAACUCUGAAGUCCAACCCGACCCGUCUGACAGAACUGGACCUGAGACACAAUAACCUGAAGGAUUCAGAUGUUCAGCAGCUGAAGCGUUUUGUAAAGACAGUAAAGUGGAAGACAUUUAGGUUAAAGUAGAAAAUGGUCUCUGUGUCCUGCUGAUCCUCAGAGGUUGAAGCUGCAGCAGUUUGAGUCUAAAGAGACUCUGACUGGAUCAUGAUGAUGACCUCUGACCUCCAAGAUUUCCCUCCUGUUUAUUUCCUCAUGUUGUCAUUUAGUGUCUGAUAUUGUUUGUCUCUUUGGAUCAAUAAAGAUCCAAUUCAAACUGGG